AUAGUAAAGAAGUCAACCCAGCGUAGGAUGCGUAUAAUUUUUAGAAAAACCGGAAAAAUUAUUGUUCCCCGGGAGGUCGGGAGAUUAACUAUUAUUUCCGGAGUCUCCCGGGCGAUCCGGGAGGGUUGGGAACCCUAGUCUGUGCAUUUGUGUUCUGAU